rnacentral:rRNA from 1 species
GACGAACGCUGGCGGCGUGCCUAAUACAUGCAAGUCGAGCGGAUCGAUGGGAGCUUGCUCCCUGAGAUCAGCGGCGGACGGGUGAGUAACACGUGGGUAACCUGCCUGUAAGACUGGGAUAACUCCGGGAAACCGGGGCUAAUACCGGAUAACACCUACCCCCGCAUGGGGGAAGGUUGAAAGGUGGCUUCGGCUAUCACUUACAGAUGGACCCGCGGCGCAUUAGCUAGUUGGUGAGGUAAUGGCUCACCAAGGCGACGAUGCGUAGCCGACCUGAGAGGGUGAUCGGCCACACUGGGACUGAGACACGGCCCAGACUCC